rnacentral:misc_RNA from 1 species
GUCAGAGCAGGCGUGAGCAGUGGAGCACAUUCGCUCCUCAAGAAGUAGGUGCAUAUGCACACACACACAGAGACGCAGACACCCUACCACAUCCCCCCGGCCAUAAAGACAUCUCGUUGCUUGUAUGUAUGUUUGCUUGCGUGAACCUGCACGCGUGUUCGUUUCUGUGCGUGUGCCUUGUGGAUUUGGUGCGUGUGUGUGUGUGUACUUGUGAGUGCACCCCUGUCGUUCAUUCCCCUUCCUCUCCUUUUUCUUUUCGGCUUUCCGCUUUUCACCUUCGUUGAGUUUCUUUUCCAUCCGUCUGUCUGCAAGCCCAAUCCUCUCCCCCACCCCUCCCUCUAUACACGCGCUUCGUUCCCUAUUCUGUGUGCAUGCCUGUGUCUGUGCGAGCGCGUAUUAGAUGCUUCGAGUAUUUGAACGGAAGUACGUUUUGUUUUUUACUUGUCUUGCUUGGGAAGGAGGUGAGCGACACUUGCUGAGGUGCGUCCGCCCCCCUCCCUCCCCUCCCCCACUGUGUGCUCCUCCGCAUCACCUUCUCUCUCCGUCUCUAUUUGCUUCCUGCCCGAGGUUGGCGGUGUGGGGACAAAGUGACUGCACAGGAGACUCCUGUGCAGUCACAGGAUUGACUGCUAGACAAGUCGUCGCCAGCUGCUCCAACCCGCGCUCGCUCUGUGGCUACUGCUAUUGGGUUGGUGGUGUCGAGGGCUCCGGGAGCGUUUCACUGUCAAGCAGCGCCUUCUGUAUUUCUUGUUUUUUUUUUCCUCUGUGCUGUUACUUCCUGCGUGUUGGAAGGCCACGUCACAUUGCAUCUGGGCUGAUUCGACAGAAGCAGCGCUGCAGUCCACAGUCACCUUUUCAGUCAGCUCUUCCUUUUAGUCGACUUCAUAUUCCGCUACUUUUUGUUUUGCGGUUCUUGCUGACUUGCUGUUUCUCUUGCUGCUGCUUUCCGCGGCUGUGCUGAUGUGCGCCAAAGCCGCUGCCCAUCCGCGCACUGGACGUAUAUUGCUGUUGCCUUCUCUCCCCACCUUGUAUUUUGUGUGGUCUGCAUUGGCUGUCUUCUUGCAGUUGCGUGUUGAUUCGCUCCCUCGCGGAUCGGCAGAUCGGUCCGACUCUUUGUCGUUCUCUGCCUUUCUUUCCGUCACCGUGGUCUUCAUCGUUUUAUCGGCUUCCUCUCGCUCUUCUUGUGUGUUUGCUUCGUCGCACGGGCUUACGUAGUGUGAGUGUGUCGACACACAGCCUCGAGCUGUGGCACAACGUUCUUUUCUCGCUUCUUCCCCUUGUUGUCAUCGCCAUCGUCGGCGUCACUACGACAGCAGCCGUCCUCAUCCUCCGCGCCUUCGCCUCCUCCAGCCCCCCUCCCUCCCUAAGAGAGACAGUGAGAGAGACGCUUUGCCGAGCUCCAUUUUGCGAGAUGCAGGGGACAAACCUCCCUCCCGAGCAACGGUGGAAAAAGGAAGAGGCGCCGCGGGCGCCGCUGUGGGCACGUGCUGCGGUGAUCAUCAUCGAGGUGAUCAUCUGGCUGGUGACCCUCGGCACAGUGAAACGCGUGAAGGCGCUGGAGGUGCUGUUUCACUACUCGCCUCACUGGAGGAAGCGAGACAGGGCGGAGGCAAGUAUCAAAGGGGCUCUGCGAACUGGUAUGGGUGCGGCGCGCCGUCUCGCGCGGCCGCUUCUUCGCAUCGAGACUGAGUUCUCUACGGAGAGCAGCAGUGGCGACAGCGGCGACGUUCUCACGCCAUUAACAGCGACAGCGUACAGGGAGACGUUGAAGAGACGACAGCAGGUAAACGCGCGCAUCCGCAGCUGCCUCCGCGACAUCCCGGUGGACGACCUGCAGGCGCCGUUCCUCGUGAAUGCGUGCACAUGGAAUGUGGAUCAGCAGGCGCCGCCUUUGUAUGAAGACGCCUUCCUGUCCUGGCUGAUUGGACAGGAGCUCACAGACGAGGUGAAGCGCUAUCAGGAUCACAAGCAGGCCGUUUUGGCCUACGGUGGUUCUCUCAGUAAGCCCCACUACCCAACCGGUUCCUCGACGAUGCGCUCCCGAAAAGCGUCUGCGAACGCUGGCUUCAAUGACGAUCCCAGAAGUCCCAAGCGCACCACUGCCGAGGAUUUCCGUCUAGCUGAUCAACAGAGGGCUGCUGCCAUCUUAGAGAGAGAGUGGCAGUGGAUCGAGACAAAGUUCCCGGACUUGUUUCUUAUUAGCCUGCAGGAGGUCGAGAUGACGGGCACGGCGCUCGUGAGGGAGUCGACGCAGCGCAGCUGGGAGUGGGCGGACGCCAUCAUCGAAACCCUCGCCGCCGCCUCAGACCGCACCAUCGACUACAAGAAGGUGCAGGUGGUGCAGCUCGUCGGGCUCGUACUAAUUGUGCUAAUACAGGCAAAGCACGUAGACUACGUCUCUCACGUGCGCCUUUCCCUCACCCGCACCGGAACCCUGUCCGUGCUGGGCAACAAAGGCUCCGUCGCCAUGCGCGUCACCAUCUACGGCAAGCGGUUUCUCUUCAUCUCCGCCCACUUUGUGGCACACAAGCACAACGAGAAGCGCCGCACGAGCAACUACCAAGCGGCGCUGAAGGACAUCCGCUUUGACAUGCCUGUCUGGAGCGACGACGAGACCGAAGUGUUGCAGACCUUUCUGAACGCGAAAGAGGUGCUGAACCACAGCAUCGGGCACUCGUCGGUGCAGGGGAACAGUGCGUGGGAUCGUCUGUUCAGCUUCGGCCAUUCCGCCUUUCGGACGUCUUUCACGACAGCUGCCGAGGCCCGGGUACUGGAUGAGCACGACUACGUCUUUUUCCUCGGAGACUUGAACUCUCGCCUGCACGCGUUGCCCAGCCCACUCAUCAAGGAGUCGGUGGAGCGUGGCGAGUACGACAACCUACUUUGCCACGACGAGCUGCGCCAGCUGAUGGUAUCGGGCGAAGCCUUCGACGGCUUUCAGGAGCAGUGGAUUUCGUUUCCGCCCACGUACAGGUACGACCGAGGCACGGAUGUGUUUGACACCAGUCGCAAGCGCCGCGACCCAGCUUGGUGCGAUCGCGUCCUCUUCCGCGUGCUAGAGAACGAUACAGUGACGGCGACGUCGCAGGAGGAAAUAAGUGCGGAGGCGCCGGAGAGCUCGGGCAGCUUUGAGCCGCCGCUGCACGACCUGCAAUCCUCCUCGUUGCUGAAGUGUGAUUCGCUAACAUCCGGGGUGUGGAUGUCACUAGAAGAGCUUGAAAGUAAGCACCUUUCCCCUAACGCGGCGGCACUAACGAGGGCGGUCUCCGCAGGCUCUUCGUCGGUCACAAGCUCGGAAGACCUUGCCUGCGAGCGAUCGCUGUCGCGUGACGUACAGAAUACCGCCGACGCCCCGCAGAACGACUUUGACUCAGCAGAUAAGCCGUUCCAGUACCCCUCGGCGUCGUUGCCGUGCCGUGCGCCCACGCAUGCGGUGUGGGAACAGAGACGGUGUGCGCCCACCUUCUGUGCCGCGCGUCGUCCACGAGGCUUACUAGAGUCGUCGUCGUCGGGGGAGGUGCUCGCCAUGCCGACACGCUUUCCGAUGGUCACCAACCACAUCCAUCCAUUAGAAUACACGUAUGUGUCGAGUCUGCGACAGUCAGAUCAUCGCCCGGUACGCGCGAGGUUCGAAGUGAAGGUCAUCGCGAUAGAGCCGGCGUUGGUCAGCAAGAUCGUGAAGGAGGUUCAGCAAGUCAUCAAUUGACGACACUCCUUUUUUUUUCGCUGCUUUCGCCUUCUUCCCUCCGACGGGGCCCUAUCUUGCUCGCUCUCGCUACAGGCCUUAUCUUUCUCUCUCGGUAGCGUCGCCCUUCCUCUCUCUCUCGCUCUCACCCCCCCCACUCCCCUCCCGUGUGACCCUCUUGAGUCGAGGGUGCGUUUUUUUUUGCGUGUAGCACUGGAGACACUGCCGCGCGUGGGUAAGGGAGGGAGGAAUAGAUGCUGAUGUGUACCGCGGCAAACGAAAAAAGGGAGAGAACGGGGGGCGGGUAGGCAAAGGAAGAAGCAGCGUGGAACACGAGAAGAGGAAAGAGCGUAGGCACCACUUGAGAUGCGGAUGACACAGUGAACGCACCGAAGAAGUACUGCAGCGCAUAAAAAACAAACAAAACACAAAAAGCAAAACAUGCAGAGGAAACGCUCUUGUCCGUGCCUGUAUACGUGUGUGUGUGCGUAACGGGAAAAAGGCUCUCUUUUCUUCUCCCUCACGAACCCGAUGUACGCUAGGCGCUUACGUUACGAGAAGGAAAGCUCUCCCCCAUCACCCCCCAAUCACCCUCUCCCCACCAACACCACCAGAAAAGGGAGAGGGGGAAGGACGAUGUAACAGGAGGGAAAGAACGACCGCAAAAGGGGUACAGCAACGCCUGCUCUCGGUAUGCGUAUAUAUAAACAGGCUGCAUCUUUUCUGUUUGUGUGUGUACGCACGUGUAUCUCUGAAUACGGAAGGGCCUUUGACAGCGCUAUUGGAAAAAGGCGAGGGGGAGGGCGCAGAAAAAAAAGCGAUACGCACACGCUGGCGGAUGCGGGCAGCGCAGCCGCGUUGUCCUGCCGCUUUGGGUGGGUGGGUGGGUGAGUGGGGGGAGGGGAGGGCUCGCUCGGCCUGCAGAAACGAAACUGCUCGUAUCAUGGAUACGCAGAACUCUCUCUCUCCUCGCUCGCUCGGAAGGAUGUUUAGUCUCUCAUGUUUUUUUUUUGGGGGGGGGCGGCUUGGCUUGUACUGCUAUGCUAUCCUUUUGUUUUUUUUUUCGUCCCCCGUGCUGUGGUUUUCUGCUUCAUGUGUAAUGCGCGGGCACCUCCUCUUCGUAUCCACUCGAUCCUCUGACUAUCCGCGCGUUUUCCUCUGUUUCGUUGGUCACGUGCUUUUCUGGGUUUCCCCGCUCCCUCAUUGUGUUUCUCCGGUGUUGCAGUGUGCCCCCCCCCCUCACACACACUCACAUCGUAUCAUUUGUCCACCCUCCCUUCCUGCCUGCCUGUGCUCGCUUCAUGCUGGUCUCUUUCUCCACACACAGUCUCACCCCAUCUUUUCCUUUUCGUUUUUGCUUCCAUGCGCGGAUGUUGAAUCAAAG